CAACCUUCAACCAUCCAAGCCCUUUCCCCAUUCCCACAUUCAGUUUUUUUUUUUUUGUGAGAGAAACCUCUUCACCACCUUUUUAUUCCUUUUUUUCACCCUUCCAUUCUCCUGCCUGAGCCUCCCAGCUGCCCCCCGAGGGCAACAGGGAGAUUUGCAGCCCAUUCCUGAGCUCCAGCAUGGAAGGGCUGGGAUUUCUCUCCUGCCUUUGAAUGCCAGGGGUGCCCCAGACCCCCAAAGGAAUUUAGAAGCUCUGCCUGCACAGGGUUUUGAAAUCUGGAUUGCAGAGAAGGGGGGUGUCCUGGAUGUAGCAAUGCAGAUUCAGAAUGAACAGCAGCAUUUCCACAUUUCUGAUGAAAAUGCAAUUUUUUUUAAUUUUUUUUUUUUUUUGCUUUGCCAGCAUCCAUUUUUUUUUGUCAGUUUUCAGAUCUGCAUAUGCAAACUCAGCCUGGUGAUCAGCUCUCACUGUGCUGCAGGGAGGCACCUGAAGGCUGAUGAUGAUGGAGAGGCACCAAGGGAGAUGGAAGAGCUCUUGGCUGCAUGUUAAAACUGUCUGAUAAAGACUUGCAGGAGCUUUUAGCAGCAAAAGGAAUCCCAGAAUCCCAAGAGGGGUUGGAAGGGAUCACAGUGGGUCAGCUGGUCCAGCCUUCCCAUCCCAGGGCACAGGGCUGUGUCCAGAUCAUUCUGGAAUAUCCCCAUUGAGGAGACUCCACUCCAUCUCUGGGCAAUCUGUUCAGUCCUCAGUCACUGCACAGGAAAGUUCUUCCUCAUGUCCAGGUGGAAUUUCCUGGGCAUCAAUUCCUGCCCAUUCCUGUUUUCCUGUUUCUGGGUCCCACAGAGCAGAGCCUGAUCCAUCAAGCUUGUGGAGGUUCAACAUUUUCAGCAUCAUCUCAUCCAAAUCAAAACUGAGUCUGCCCAUGAACCAAGCAGCACCAGGGAUCAGACAGGCACAGGGUGAAACAGCCCCUGGCCUGGUUUUGGUGUGGGAUGAGCAAUCCCAGGACAUGGCUUGGGAAUGAUCAGGACUGGGGCCCCUUCCUGACAAACAAGUUGGAUUCAGCCACCCAGAUUUGAUGGCCAGGAACUUUGAAUCUCAGGGAUGUGGCCAGACAGGGUCAGAUGGCCUCAGGGCCAGAGCCCAGGUCUAGCAGGGUGAGUUUACAGCAGAGGUGUUGCUCCCAGAGCUGGACGUCUGUCUGUCUGUCUGUCUCCUCACAGGAACAGACCACACACUGUCACCCCGCUCCCUCUUCUGUAAAUGUUUAUUUUUAAUUCGGUUGCGUAAUGGAUUUCAAACGAGCUGCCAUGAGAUAGCAGUGAAAGGCUGCAGCCACAUCCUUCUGAAGCUAGUCCAUGGGUUUGAAUGUUUUUUGGCCUGGAUUUAUCUUGGAUAAAUUGUGUUCAUCCAAAAAACACUGGUGGAGAGCUGCUGAAGGAGAGUGGUUCUCCCACUGGUGAUGCUCUAACACCAACCACCUGCAAUGGACACCUGAAAUUAGGUGUGAUCAGUCAAAAUAAACUUGUGAAACACCAUCACUAUCCACACCUGUGGCUCAGUAUUUUUUUCUUUUCCUCAGACACAAGGAAUCAUUUCUGUUGCCCCCAGAGCUCCAGAGACUGCCAGUUCCCACAUCAUCCCUGGGCACAGAAGCUUUUCCAGAGGACUGCUGAAUCCUUGGGAACACACAGAUCCAAGCCUCAGUUCCCUGGAGCUCAGCCUUCCAAGCGUGGGAAGAGGAGGCUGUGGUGCUCCCAGCCAUCAUCGUCCCAUCCUGGCCAGGAGCAGUCUCCAUGUUGUCCACAGGGAUUGGCACCAGGAAUGUCCUCUGGCAUGGCUGGAGGAUCACCUGGAAGCAAAUCAACCUGGAAACGCGGCAGAGGCACCUCCAGAGGGCAGCAGGUCCCCAGGUGAUGCUGACACCCCAAUGGUGUCCCCAGGGGCUGCAGGGGUCAGCUGUGGUCACCUGGCUGCUCGUCUCUAUGGAUCUCUGACUGGCACUGGCCUGGGUCAGUCUUCACUGAAUCAUUGAAGGGUUUGGGUUGGAAGAGACCUCAAAGAUCACCUAGUCCCCUUGCCAUGUGCAGAGACACCUUCCACUAGAUCAGGAUCCUUCCUUGGGGUAUCUACUUUCUCUAUGGGUUUCUCCCAGGUGAGUGAAACAUCAAAGAACUAACAAAGGAUGAUUGUGCCUGAAAUCCUAUCAAAAUAAUGGUGGGAAUUUUCAGCCCAUUUGUUUUUUUUCAAAGGUAAAAUUAAAUCCAUUUGGCAAUUCCAUAACUAACUUUGUAAGUGUGGGUAUUACUGAAUUAUUUCUCCCUCAACUCAAAAAAUCCCCAAGACCUGAAGAACUAGAAAUCAUUUCCUAAUAAAAUCAAGACCCUUUCCAAAGAUUUUUAACUGAUUUGUAAUGGCUUUCCAUUGAUAAACCUACUAACACAAUUAAUUACAGCAAUCCAUAAAAAUAAAAAUAGUUUUAAAAAUAUCAAGACUGAUAUAUGUUUCUUCCACCUCUCUUCUUUGCUGGAAAAAAGAGAUUUCAGUUCUACUUUCACUUAAAAUAUUUCUUGUAAAUUAACUCCAGAAGUGCUAAUGAAUGAAAAUUCCUCUUUCAGUCUCUGUCAACCUCUCUCAACCCAGUAAGGCUUUGUCAGAACCCACAGGACUGGAGGGACCUUUAAAAAUGCUGUGAUUGCCCUGAACUUGUAUCCUAGGCUUUGGGAGGAAGGAAAGGAUCACUUUCUGCAUUAAGAGCUGGGUGGAAUUCCCUGGAUUUGGAACUGAUGGUCAGGGGACACAGUUCUACUUCAGCAACUGGUGGCUUGACAAACAGAAUCUGGACAAUCUCCUCAACCCAGAACAAAUAAAAUGAAAGACCAAUAAUUGGAUGCUUAUGGUUUUUUUUUCUCUCACUCCAGCUGUUGGGGUUUUUUUUUCUGUUUCCAAAUCAAACUGAGUAUUUUGGAACCUCAAAAUGUGAACAGCACUUGAAAUGUGUUUGCUUGUUAGAUUCCUCUUCUUUGCUGUUUGUUCAGACUGACAAAUGAGCCAUAAAAUCAAAUGUUUGCAACACUCCCAAUGUCCAAUAUUUCAGAGAGAUCCAUACUUUGGAAUUUGCCUCCAGACAACCUCCCGUGCAGAAAUCCAUCAGAAGAAGGGUGUUAUCUCAGCCAGUGAUGAUCCUUGAAACUGCAGGACCAAGAGUGAAGAUCCAACCUCUUAAAUAAUAUUUUCAUCCCUCAUGUCAAAAAAACAAGCUGAUAAACUUUGCUCAGCCAGUCUCAGACAGGAUCCCUGUUGUCCUGUUUCAUGAGGUUCUGUCUAGUUUUCCUUUCUCCUUGUCUCAACAGGCAGGGGUGUCACAGACAUAUUUUAUGGAAAAUCCUUUCCUUAGGAU